UGAAAGAUGAAUUAAAAUUGUUUAGAUGUUUAAGAUGCAUGACUUCAUUACAAUCAGGAUUUUGAAAUAAUCCCUUUUUGUUUCAUGUAUUGAAGAUAUUGAAAAUGCAUUAAGUUACAGUGAAGGUGUUUAAAAUGGGAAAAUUAUCUUAUUGACUUCAGUAAAUAAAAUCAAGUCAAGACAUUUUACUUAUAUCAAAUAAGAACUACCUGAGGCAUGUUAGAUUAGAGCGAAUUAUAUUUCUCAAUGGAUAUAACCCAAGAACACAAAACUCAAUUUAAAAAGUCAUUUCAGCAGCUAAAGAUAAAAAAUUCUGUUAUUUGUCUGUGAUUGGUAAAUACUUUUGCAUGUGUGAUCAACUGUAUGGUUAUGUGAUUUCAAAUUUCUAAUUUCAUAUUCAAUCUAGGUGUACGGCACUUUCAAAAAUCACCUUAUUAUCCAAAGAAAUACUAUAAUAGAAAUACAAUAAAGUUUUAGAAUUUUAAAAUGUAGCAGUUUGUUAAGCCUUAGCAUAUAAUUAGACAAUCCUACUUCUGUUUAUCUUUUUAUUUCCUUUGUCGACUAACUCACUUUAUUUUUCUUAUACUUUUAUAAAUGAGAGGACAGAAUGUUCUUAUUCUGGGUAAAAUCUUGGAAUCAUUAAUUUCCACCUUUAUAUCUGAUGGUUUAAGAGGUUAGUGUCUUUUUAAAGCUAUGAUGUCAUAGAUUCACAUAAGAGUAAAGGUUCCAUCCUUCUCUCCAUACUGGAGUAGAGAAAUACUUUGUCUAUAUCCCUUUGCUGCUGAGGCCUACUGGUGGCUGAGAUCAUUUACAUGGUGAAUACCUUCACAGAAAGCUUUCUAGAAACACUAUUCAGGGCACCAGAAUCACUCCCUCCCAACUGUUGAUGAAUCCUGAGCACAAAAAGACCUGCCAUCACAAGUCACAAGAAUUCUACUAGCAGAGUAAAUCAUAUGGGAAAAUAUAUCAUAUUUCACUCUUAAACAGGGAGUAACCAACUGAUUAGAUCCAGCUGAAGAGAAAAUUUGUAUAUUGCAAGAUAGAGAUAAAGAAAUAACACAAAAUUAUCAGCAUGUUAAGGACAUGGGAAAAUAUAAGAGAUAUGGAGAAAAGGUGAAAAGGGUGGCAUAUACAUAAUUGGAAUU
rnacentral:lncRNA from 1 species